GAUGAACGCUGGCGGCGUGCUUAACACAUGCAAGUCGAACGGAAAGGCCCAAGCUUGCUUGGGUACUCGAGUGGCGAACGGGUGAGUAACACGUGGGUGAUCUGCCCUGCACUUCGGGAUAAGCCUGGGAAACUGGGUCUAAUACCGGAUAGGACCACAUUUUGGAUGGUGUGGUGGAGAGUUUUUCGGUGUGGGAUGAGCUCGCGGCCUAUCAGCUUGUUGGUGGGGUAAUGGCCUACCAAGGCGUCGACGGGUAGCCGGCCUGAGAGGGUGUACGGCCACAUUGGGACUGAGAUACGGCCCAGACUCCUACGGGAGGCAGCAGUGGGGAAUAUUGCACAAUGGGCGCAAGCCUGAUGCAGCGACGCCGCGUGGGGGAUGACGGCCUUCGGGUUGUAAACUGCUUUCGCUAGGGACGAAGCGCAAGUGACGGUACCUGGAGAAGAAGCACCGGCUAACUACGUG
rnacentral:rRNA from 1 species